ensembl:lncRNA
GCGACCGGAGAACAUCGUAUGGUAGAACUACUGCAUAGACAUAGGACGACCUGUGCCCUUUAGCCUACAUUUUCUUUGCAAAUUCAUGACGGCGCUCCGGUUUUAACAGAUGACCGAAGAGAAGCUGGGGAUCAGUUGCAGGCAUCUCAGGAAUUCAUAAAGAAAUCUGCUAAUUUUCUGUUUGUCAAACACGACAGCUCACAGAACGAGUUUAAGCAGUGAAAUUGAAAACAGUGUUUGAAUUGCUGAGCCACAAGUUCCACAUCCUCUUGGGGUAUAUUGAUGCUGCAGCGCAAAUUAUUACUCAAACAAGAUUCGUCCGAUAUCGCCAUAAAAACCUGCUCAGCCCAAAAAGAUGUCCGUUCAAAGAAGACAUGCCAUGAUGAUUUAUUUGUAUCUGUUACUCAACUUCGUUCUGUGUGAGGAAGUCACCCCACUGAUAGGGAGAAUCAUAACUCCCGAAGGCGGGACAGAGGCCAGGGAAUACCAGUGUGUCGCCGAUGCCAACUCCGCACCAACAAGCUUCGUGUGGAGAUACCAGGGCCAGGCCUUGCCUGAUGGUGUGAGACCCGAGGGGGACAGACUGCACUUCCUCGAGUUGAACUCUGACCUUAACGGCGAGUAUAGCUGUGAGGUCACAAACCCAUAUGGGACGGCUGUGUACUCCAUAUAUCGCCACAUAGUUGACCCCGACGACACCCACAAUGAACUUUGACUGCUGCCCUGAUUUGUCAUUGUGGCUUUCUCUGGACCUGGCUGAAGAAGUCCAAAGUAUCAUGUCUGGCUCAAGUCUGGCUCUGGCUUGUAAUAUACUAGACUUCACAUGCAUAUACUUUCAUUCAUAUACUUGCUUUAUGCAUUAUUUAUUUAUCUUUGAUAUUCCAUCCAUUGCAAGCAGCUUCUUAGCCAAAUCCCAGUGCACUUGAGUGAUGUUAGAACAUACACACCUUCCUCUAUAAUGAGAGGUAUCCAUGAGUGCAUGCACAACUCAAAAUAGAUUGGCUACAGUAAAUAGUGAAAAAUGAAAAAUAUAAGCAGCCUCAUGUAAUGCACAGUAUGGUGUAUGAAUAAUGACAAUGUUAUAUAAUCCUAUAUAUUUGUAAGUUACUUGAAGUCAUUGCUCUUUGUCAUUUGCUCUUUGCCGUUUUGUGCUAUUGCAUUUCAAUAAAUAAAGGAUUUAUUUAAGUGGUCAGUCUGGUGCUUUUGCAAGUGUUUGUGUGUGUGUGUGUGUGUGCACUUGCAUGAGUGUUUGCAUGUUUAGUCACGCAGAAUUGUACUGUUGUAUACUCAGGCCCUUUGAUCUUUUCACCCUAGAACAAGCCCCGUUCCAACCAUGUUAGUUUUGCUUGCCUGCUAUGUGCAACAUGUGAGGCUUGUUUGACCACAUGGUUUGAGGAAGGCUCUUGUGAAAACCUCAGCAGGACACAUCUCCAGUCCAAAACACAUCUGUCAGCACGUAAGAUUUACGUCAGAGGUGGUUAAGUGUACUUUCCGUGGUGCUUCGCCUUGACUACAGCACGUGUCUACACUAAGCAGUCACGGGUGUGCAUGUCUAUAGAUGUCAUCCAUCAGUGUGAUUCUACACACAUACCUUACCUAUUCAUUGUACUUAAGAGCGGAUACAAAAAAGCAAGAGUUUCAGAUUGUUGCACUGGUACAUGGCCUUCCAGGACCAGCUUUUCUGCUUGCAUGGUCUGGACAAGACCACAAGAUGGCAAUCAUAACAGGCCCCUCUGGGUGUCCAGUUAACAUUUUAGUGUGUAAUAAAACAAGAGGCGGAGAUGCAGUUACAUUAGUGACAUCACCACGACUCAUGACAAUAAAACAAUACAUUUUACGUCAGAUAGAUAGACAGACAGACAGACAGAUAGAUAGAUAGAUAGAUAGAUAAAUGCAGAGAUAGUAAGUGAGAAUGCUUGGUCGGACUCAACGCACAUGUCAUGAGUCAUGUAUCGAAGAGAGGAAGCAGUGACCAGACGGCGC